AUUGAACGCUGGCGGCAGGCCUAACACAUGCCAGUCGAACGGUAACAGGAAGCAGCUUGCUGCUUUGCUGACGAGUGGCGGACGGGUGAGUAAUGUCUGGGAAACUGCCCGAUGGAGGGGGAUAACUACUGGAAACGGUAGCUAAUACCGCAUAACGUCGCAAGACCAAAGAGGGGGACCUUAGGGCCUCUUGCCAUCGGAUGUGCCCAGAUGGGAUUAGCUAGUAGGUGGGGUAACGGCUCACCUAGGCGACGAUCCCUAGCUGGUCUGAGAGGAUGACCGGCCCAACGGGAACGAGACCAGGGUCCAGACCCCUACGGGGGGCAGCAGUGGGGAAUAUUGAACAAGGGGCGCAAGCCUGAUGCAGCCAUGCCGGGGGUAUGAAGAAGGCCUUCGGGUUGUAAAGUACUUUCAGCGGGGAGGAAGGGAGUAAAGUUAAUACCUUUGCUCAUUGACGUUACCCGCAGAAAAAGCACCGGCUAACUCCGG
rnacentral:rRNA from 1 species